AGCGAACGCUGGCGGCAGGCCUAACACAUGCAAGUCGAACGAACCUUCCGUGGUUAGUUGCGGUCGUGUGAGUAACACGUGGGAACGUACCUGUAGGUACCGUAUAACUCAGUGUAACUUGUGCUAAUGCCGAUGGUGCUCUUCGCGGGAAGGAUUUAUCGCCUUUAGAGGGGCGGGGGUCUGUUUAGCCAGUUGGGUGAGGUAAUGGCUCAGCAAGGCGAGGUUCAGUAGCUGGUGUGAGAGGAUGAUCAGCCACAUUGGGACUGAGACACGGACCAAAAUCCUACGGAAGGGAGCAGAGGGGAAUCUAGCGCAAUGGGGGAAAGCGUGACGCAGCCAUGCCGGGUAAAUGAGGCAGGUGUUAGGAUUGUACAAUUGUUUGACCGGGGGCGAUAAUGACGGUACCCGGAGAAGAAGCCCCGGCUAACUUCGUG
rnacentral:rRNA from 1 species